rnacentral:lncRNA from 7 species
GUCCGGUGAAUUUUAGCCGUACGCCGUCGGCGAAUUUCCCGAGAGCGGCCACUUCACGCCGAGUCAGCCUGGCGCACCGGACACUGUCCGGUGCACCACCGGACAGUCCGGUGUGCCAGACUGAGCUGAGUCUUGGCUGUACACAGCCAAGCCUUUUUCACCUCUUUUCUUUUCUUCUUCUUUCUGUUUCUAACACUUAGACAAGUAUAUUAGUACACAAAACCAAUGUACUAAGGCUUAGAAACAUACCUUUACUCUUGAUUUGCACUUUGUCCAUCCAUGAGCAUAAAAUCACAUUUAAGCACUUGUGUUGGCACUCAAUCACCAAAAUACUUAGAAAUGGCCCAAGGGCACAUUUCCCUUUCAAAAACUCAUGCAUGAUUUUUGUCUUCAUGAAGGUCCAGUCAAUUGCUUAGUUGUUCACCCCUAUGAGUUUUUAUUGGCUACAGGUAAAUUUAGGUCCUAUAUACUCACACAGGAUGUUGAUUUACUAAAAUAAGAUUUCUAUUAUUUUUAUUGAGGACCUAUUACUCCCUCAUGCUUCUUAUUUGUACAUCACCUGUAGAUCUAAGUAACAUAUUCCAUGUUGUCCUUUUCAAAACCUUUGCAGGUUCAGUUGAUAAGACUGUUAAAUUUUGGGACCUUGAAACUUUUGAGUCGAUCGGUUCUGCUGGACAUGAGGUACCAUAUCUAUUUAUAACGACUCACAAAAUUAAUUGUUCAUAUCCCCAGUUGAAGCUAUUCUAUGUUCAAAAUCUGAAUUAAUAUAGCCCUUGAAGGUCAUAUAGUGAUCUGGAAAAAGCUGUUUUUGAGAAUGCUACAGUUUUAAAAAGUUGUAUUUAAUCAAUAGAAUUUGGUCACAUGCUUGAAUUAAAUGAAAUAUAUUCAAACUAAGGUCUACCAUUAUGAUUUUUUUUAAAAAAAACUAUUAUGAAGUUUCAACCGUAGUCUGUUUGCCACUCUGCCCAAGUAUGAUUCAUUCCAAGGAUUCAAGGAACACAUACAUUCAGCAUCAGUGUGCAGUUUUUUUGACUCUUCUGUAGACUAUUGGCACUCUAAAGUCUAAAAUAGAUAUAUUGGUAUGCACCUUUUGUCACUUUUCUUUAGACUGUUGCAAACCAGAUAGUGGCACGUAUACCUGCUGUAUUUCAAUUUGAUGAAGAAUCUAAUGUUACUGUCCAUUCUCUAUAUAGGUUUUCUUUUCCUAGGAUAUAAUUAACCUUUCCUUGCUUAAUGCAGAACAACCGAGAAUACUUUGAGCUGGUACGGAUUCUAUCAUUAAUUUCUUCAAAUCAUCAUAUUUCUGGAAUUUUUGUGUGGAAAUGGAUGACAUGCUUUCUGUAAACAAAGCACAUGAUCUGUAAUCAGAUAAACCAAUUGCUUAUUGUUGGUAAAUGUCCUCAAUUAGUAGUUAAUGAUUGGUUUUUCAGAUAUUAUGGAGAGGUUACAUAAAGAUGGUAUACUAUCAAGGGCAAGCAAAGAUGGUUAUACAGUUAACCAGAUAUUAUGGAGAGGCUACAUAAAGAUGGUAUACUAUCAAGGGCAAGCAAAGAUGGUUAUACAGUUAAUCAGGUCAGCGCCUUCAGAGCAAAAUAACAGUAGGGUUAUCUGCUACACGAAUGGCUACAUGUAUCAAUGGGAUUAGUUCACUGCAUAGAUCGAACCAAUUGCUUCAAGGGUUCCAAACAUGACUGACAUCGGGUGAGUUUACACAUGCCGCACCACAACAGAUCCUUCUUCAGCGGGAUCCACCAUCGAUUUUGGUCGCGCGCCAGUCAAUCGGUGGAGGCUAUUGGAAUCUAAUGGCUGAGUCCUACGUUGUCCUUGUUCUUCCCCACGACGGCCACCCAGAUCCUCCUCGUCUGACCUCUCCUUUCUCAUUUUUAGGCCUUGCACUGUAUCUGCAUCAAAGAGAAGGAUCCGAGGUUACUCCGUUCGGAGGAGCAAGGUAAGUCGACUGCCUCUGUAUCCGUCUGUGCUAUGCUCUAGGUUGGGAUUAGUUCUGACCUGCAAAUUUGGCCCCCUUGCUGUUAACUUCCGUCUUGUAUGAGGUCAAAAGAAAGGGAAUAAGGGAUGCUAUCAGACGACGUGAAAUCGUUGCUCAGGGCUGUCUGUAUGAUUGUAGAUUAAUAGCACAAAUACUAAUAUAAAUUUCUCUACAAAAUUGUAAGUUUGUUUUGAUCAUGAUUUUCAUGGAUGUUCUGGUGUAAAUUUAGUCUUGAUCCCAUGUAGCAGCAGCACAGAAAGGAAGGAUCUGAUGCUGUUAUCUUUGUUUGCUCCGCGUAGUGCUCUCACUGCUAUGC